rnacentral:misc_RNA from 1 species
CUCUCAAGGCCGGUAUCUUAGGACUCAGGAACCUGAAUCACCAGGCAGUGAGUCUCAAAGAGGCACCGUCUCCUCGGUUUAUCCGAGAGGACACGCCCGCGAAACAGAAUGUUUUCUACCAUUUUGGUUCGGAGUUACUCCCUGUGUAAUACGGCGAAGACGCCCAUCCCGCCCUCCGUCUCUUGAAAUCGAACUGGUUCGCCAUCUAUAACUGGCGGUAGCACCGUUUCUGCUCCCACAUUUUGGACAUUGGUCUUCAUAUCCUUGCUCAGAAGGACACGAAGAGCUGAACCGCGCCCUGGAGCCGCGUCUGUCGUGGAAAGGAGGCGUUUAGCCAUCUGCUCGUCCUUCGCACACCCAUGCUGGAAGAUCCCCGCGGGCUCCAUAACUGAGUCUCUGAUUAAGUACCGUUUUGAUCCGAUCCCUCUUAGGUCUGCACGGGCAAUGGCUGACUGGCGCAAUCACUUCACCGUCAUGAAGAACAAGCACUGGUUGGCCCUUCUCCCUGAGGCGUGAGACCGUGGGCACGCACUAUGGCCCAAAGCCACCAAUUUUUUGAGCAAACAUUACGGGGCUGCGACUAGAUGUGCCGAAACGCUCCACAUGCUUCGACUAUGUUGUCUGCCUGUCGUCAGACAUCCUUCCCAGGCAACGGUUUUCAAGUACCGGGGCCUGGUUGCGUUUUACCAGUUGCAACGAACUCAUGUCACACGGACACCAUUGCCGGGAUGACCACGUCUACCACAUGCCACACGACUUUUUAAGUCAUCUAUUUUAACGACUACAGUUUCUUCGUUUCUCAGCAGCACAAUAUGGCAGUGUCUGAUACGACUACUUCUUAUUUGCUUUGUUUGAUUGUUGAUAUAUUUAUCCGGUCAAGAGAUGGAACAGGAAGGAUACGUGAGCUACCGAACAGCAUGUCAUGCGUCUUCUGAACAACCGAAUCCGAAUCCGCAUUGCGGGUAUAACAUUGCUAAUAUGAUUCAAGUAGCUGAAAUGUAUCUCCCU